GAUAAACGCUGGCGGCGUGCUUAACACAUGCAAGUCGAACGAAGUUUUUCCUUCGGGAGAAACUUAGUGGCGGACGGGUGAGUAACGCGUGGGUAACCUGCCCUGUACAGGGGGACAACAGCUGGAAACGGCUGCUAAUACCGCAUAAGCACUUAGCACUGCAUGGUGCAUAGGGAAAAGGAGCAAUCCGGUACAGGAUGGACCCGCGUCUGAUUAGCCAGUUGGCAGGGUAACGGCCUACCAAAGCGACGAUCAGUAGCCGAUCUGAGAGGAUGUACGGCCACAUUGGGACUGAGACACGGCCCAGACUCCUACGGGAGGCAGCAGUGGGGAAUAUUGCACAAUGGAGGAAACUCUGAUGCAGCGACGCCGCGGGGGUGAAGAAGUAUUUCGGUAUGUAAAACUCUAUCAGCCGGGAAGAAAAUGACGGUACCUGAAUAAGGAACAACGGCUAAAUACGUU
rnacentral:rRNA from 1 species